rnacentral:rRNA from 1 species
UACAGAGGGGGCAAGCGUUGUUCGGAAUUACUGGGCGUAAAGGGCGCGUAGGCGGCCUUCUAAGUCGAACGUGAAAUCCCCGGGCUCAACCCGGGAACUGCGUCCGAUACUGGAAGGCUUGAAUCCGGGAGAGGGAUGCGGAAUUCCAGGUGUAGCGGUGAAAUGCGUAGAUAUCUGGAGGAACACCGGUGGCGAAGGCGGCUCGCUGGACCGGAACUGACGCUGAGGCGCGAAAGCGUGGGGAGCAAACAGG